rnacentral:rRNA from 1 species
UACGUAGGUGGCGAGCGUUAUCCGGAAUUACUGGGCGUAAAGGGCACGCAGGCGGCCCAUCAAGUCUGACGUGAAAGCUCCUGGCUUAACUGGGAGAGGUCGUUGGAAACUGAGGGGCUUGAGGCGAUGAGAGGGGUGCGGAAUUCCCGGUGUAGUGGUGGAAUGCGUAGAUAUCGGGAGGAACACCAGUGGCGAAAGCGGCGCCCUAGCAUCGGCCUGACGCUCAUGUGCGAAAGCGUGGGGAGCGAAC